rnacentral:lncRNA from 1 species
ACCAUCAUCAAAAUUCUAAAAGUUAACAGAAGACCGAGCACAUAUGGAUAGAGCUGAUAUCCUCUGUAAUUGGGAUUUGAAUUGCAAAGAUCUAGUCUUUCAAUCAUAGCUAUCUAUGUGUCAUAUGUCCAUAAAGUGCAUUUAAUCACAAUCAUUACAUAAUAUAUGAUAGUCCUCGAUUGAUAAAUUAGAUUUCUAUGAGUCUGAACUUUGAAUGAAAGAGGAUCCUAUGC